GGACAGAUGGCCGAGCUGGUUAUGGCGCCAGGUUAAGGUUACCUUAAUACUUUCGUACUCUCUCACAAAGGGUUGUAAUUUCCUGGUCACGAAAGUGGCGUGGGUUCGAGUCCCACUCUGUUCA